rnacentral:rRNA from 1 species
GAUGAACGCUGGCGGCGUGCCUAAUACAUGCAAGUCGAGCGAACGGACGAGAAGCUUGCUUCUCUGAUGUUAGCGGCGGACGGGUGAGUAACACGUGGAUAACCUACCUAUAAGACUGGGAUAACUUCGGGAAACCGGAGCUAAUACCGGAUAAUAUUUUGAACCGCAUGGUUCAAAAGUGAAAGACGGUCUUGCUGUCACUUAUAGAUGGAUCCGCGCUGCAUUAGCUAGUUGGUAAGGUAACGGCUUACCAAGGCAACGAUGCAUAGCCGACCUGAGAGGGUGAUCGGCCACACUGGAACUGAGACACGGUCCAGACUCCGACGGGAGGCAGCAGUAGGGAAUCUUCCGCAAAGGGCGAAAGCCUGACGGAGCAACGCCGCGUGAGUGAUGAAGGUCUUCGGAUCGUAAAACUCUGUUAUUAGGGAAGAACAUAUGUGUAAGUAACUGUGCACAUCUUGACGGUACCUAAUCAGAAAGCCACGGCUAACUACGUG